ACAUAGAGAUGGCUUCAUUUGACAGCGAUGAGGACACAGUCUUUGAGACAAGAAAUCUGAAGCGAUGACUUGGGAUUGACCAGUGGCUUCAGCUGCAUAGACUGACCAAGAGGUGCAAGUCCACCAGUGGGAAUCGCCUUACCAAUCCUCGGGUUUUAUUUGUUCUAAUUGCUUACAAUGAGUACUACUUAACAGCACAAAAACUUACGUAGCUGGGGCAGGGGGAAGGGAACCAAAUCUAUUUCCUUCACAGGAAAUUUCCUAUUUCCUUUUGUUGGGGAAGGUGGAGUUGCAAAGUCGAUGAUGUUGCACAGGGAGAUGCUUGCUAAUGGAAAUGUCACUCCUGGAUGAGGACUCAGCAUUUGAAAACUUCUGGCUCUGGACCCGAGGUAUUGCAGCUCUGUGUGCUGGCCUGUGAAUCUUACCAGUAUUUUAUAUGUGCUCAUCUCCCUCUCUGCCGACUGCUGCACUCAAGAUAUCAGGCAAGUGGAUUCCUUCUGGAGGCAGAUCCUGUUUCCUUUGUGCAGCAUCGAGUUACUUCUUUAGUAAAUGUCUCUGUAAUCAACUCCUCAUGUGUUGAGUGGGGAGGGCUCUCGUUAUCUGUUACGCUGGCAGGAGAUGUGGGUAGUGUUGCCUUAGCUCAGGAAGGAGCAGCGAGUUAAAUACGUCCCGGUUCUUGUAGUUAUAGGGCUCGUAGUUCCACGUGAUAAUACAGGUCUACAGGUCUGUUUUGCUCUUUGGAUAGCAAAAAUAUGUUUACAAGUGCAAGGUGCCAGUGGGCCUGAAGGACCCGUUCCUUCGAGGGAGCGUCGGUUUGCAUAGCCCGGGGUUUGUGGGUGCUGGGGCUGCUUCUCCCAGCCCAAGCUGGUGGUUGCAGUGGCCCCUUCACCAGGGAGGUACCUGCUGUGUGCUGGGCUCAGGCUGCUGCGCCACUCCUGGUGCGACAAACGCCUUGUGUUUGAAUCACUGUCCUCUGCAAAAGGAGGAGCAGAGAAGGCAGCACUGCCAGGCCGUUAUGAUCCUUAAACUAAGACAUCCCUGGCUCAGAACAUCCCUGGCUCUUCAUAGGGAGGCUCAGAGUUUCGCUCUGUCUGCUGGUACUCAGAUUGCGUCGCGUGUCAGCCCAACAAGCUGGGAGGUUCCUUAGCUGGAGGUUUGGCUUGAUAUUUGGGUUCUUACAAUGCAGGACCAAAUGUGUGCAGAAAAUCUCUUUCCU